UGAAACUCGGCAAUGGGGGGAACCCUGAACUCGCACGCCGCGUGAGUGAAGAAGGUUUUCGGAUCGUAAAGCUCUGUUGUAAGAGAAGAACGUGUGUGAGAGUGGAAAGUUCACACAGUGACGGUAACUUACCAGAAAGGGACGGCUAACUACGUGCCAGCAGCCGCGGUAAUAC
rnacentral:rRNA from 1 species